AUAACACUUCAGUAAUAAUACAAUAAAAGCAAUGUCUAGACGUAUACAAACCUACACAUAAUUUACACUCCCAAUAAUAAAUGCAUACGACAGUCAUUCGCACCCUACCAUUUAAUCGCUUGGCGAAUGACUGUUGAAUGGAGCGUAUCCUGACGGUCCGGACAUGAUGUCUGAAAAUAAUAUCUGAUUUGUUGGCUUUCGGUGGUACUGAAGUGACAUACUCACCUAUUGGGUUCGCCUAUAUGAUGGGAAGGAGGCCACCUAUUCAUCUAAACUCGGUCCCGAAUUGAACAUUCUCCAGUAGAAGUUAGGGCCCUAUGGUCACGCC
rnacentral:lncRNA from 1 species